rnacentral:rRNA from 1 species
AACGUAGGAGACAAACGUUAUCCGGAGUUACUGGGCGUAAAGGGCGUGUAGGGGGUUUCGUAAGUCUGGCGUGAAAUUUUUCGGCUUAACCGGGAAAGGUCGUCGGAUACUGCGGAGCUAGAGGACGGUAGAGGCGUGUGGAAUUCCGGGUGUAGUGGUGAAAUGCGUAGAGAUCCGGAGGAACACCGACGGCGAAGGCAGCGCCCUGGCCGCCAUCUGACGCUCAGGCACGAAAGCUGGGGGAGCGAACAGG